AAAUUCAUAAAAGUUAUUUAAUAAAGUUUAAAGGACGCAGUAACCUUGACUGUGAUAAUGUAGCAUAAUCACUCGCCAUUUAAUUGAUGGAUAGUAUGAAUGGUUGAACGAAUAUUCCACUGUCUUAAAAAGAAAUACCAAAAAAUUAAAAUAAUAGUUAAGAUGCUAUUUAAAAUUGUAAGACGAAAAGACCCUAUAGAGCUUAACUAUAAUCUCUUUUAUCAACAGAAAAAAAAAACUUUCAAAAAUAAAGAGAUUGGUAGUUUAGUUGGGGCGACUAUCUUUUAUAUAUAACAAAGAGAAGCAAAGUUAAUAAAAAACUUAUUGUAUAAUAAAUUAAUUUAACAAUUACAAAAGUAGGCUAUAAUGACCCGUUAUAUAUUAGUAAAAAUUAUAACGAUCAAUAAAUAAAAGCUACCUUAGGGAUAACAGGACAAUUUCAUUUUAGAGAUCAUAUCGAAAAUGAAGUUUGUCACCUCUAUGUUGAAUUAAGAUAUCCUGACAAUGCAGAAGUUGUCAAA
rnacentral:rRNA from 1 species